rnacentral:lncRNA from 1 species
AUCAGAAAAAAAGCGUAUUCUUUUAGGUGUUCAGCCACACUGCUUUGGUGUCACAACUGCACAUUGGUUUCACAGCUGCAGGACAAGUUCGAGCAUCUUAAAAUGAUUCAACAGGAGGAGAUAAGGAAGCUCGAGGAAGAGAAAAAACAACUGGAAGGAGAAAUCAUAGAUUUUUAUAAAAUGAAAGCUGCCUCUGAAGCACUGCAGACUCAGCUGAGCACCGAUACAAAGAAAGACAAACAUCUUCUAAAUGGUGCACUGGAUGUUGAAAAAGUUGAUGAUGAGCAAGAACAAAAUUCCUGCUUUCAGGAGACUUACAGUUCAAUAUGGGAAAUAUAAUUUGUUAAAAUAUAAAAGUGCAAUUGUGUUA